GUGGGGAAUCUUCCGCAAUGGACGAAAGUCUGACGGAGCAACGCCGCGUGAGUGAUGAAGGUCUUCGGAUUGUAAAGCUCUGUUAAUCGGGACGAAAGAGCCUAGUGUGAAUAAUGCUAGGAAGUGACGGUACCGGAAUAGAAAGCCACGGCUAACUACGUGCCAGCAGCCGCGGUAAUACGUAGGUGGCAAGCGUUGUCCGGAAUUAUUGGGCGUAAAGCGCGCGUAGGCGGAUCUGCCAGUCUGUCUUAAAAGUUCGGGGCUUAACCCCGUGAUGGGAUGGAAACUACAGAUCUAGAGUAUCGGAGAGGAAAGUGGAAUUCCUAGUGUAGCGGUGAAAUGCGUAGAUAUUAGGAAGAACACCAGUGGCGAAGGCGACUUUCUGGACGAAAACUGACGCUGAGGCGCGAAAGCCAGGGGAGCGAACGGGAUUAGAAACCCCUGUAGUCC
rnacentral:rRNA from 1 species